CUAUUUUAUUUGUCCUUGGGUGUCCGGCUUCGAGCGCAGAUCUAUUUUUCUAAAAAAAAAAAACUAAUAUUUUUGAUUGAAAAAGAAAAAAAGAAAAAAAACGAAGCUUUAUACCGGGUCGGAGGAUCCGAAAGCUAAACCCUCCGAGUGUCUAACACAAUCCACCCGUUUGCAUUUUACAAAGAAGGGUUUUAGAACACACAUGCAUACACAGAUUUGUAUAUAUCUAACAAAACCCUUGCAAACCCUAUGCACCUGAACUGGGCAUUUCGCUCCAGUACUCCUCGAUCCAAAUCGCAUCCCUCUAGGAUUUUUACUGCCUCUACGAUCUUUUCUGUUCAAUUAUUUGCAGUCUACUCCAGAAAUGGCACAUAUCAGUGAGUGCUAGUCUCUCCGAUGCAUCGACGAUUGGCCAUUUUCGGUCAUCGAGCACUCACAAAUUCAUCACUUUUCUCCCAAACCACCAUCACUGUUUUGCACAAUCAAUCGAGUAUUUUGAGCAGUAGAAAUAAUGGGUUCGCUUUCUUUCGUGUGUUCAUGUUCACGAAGACAGAGAAACGGAGAGUCCCCGACCCCGAUGACCCAUCCAACUUGAUCAAGGAGGAUGGAGUCUCAGUGUGCUCGCGUAUGUGGAUCGAGAAUUUCCGAGAACCCAAUAAGACAGUGACCAAUUUGGCUGAUUAUCUUCGAAGAUUCGAGCUAUGGGUAUUGGCUUACCAGAAGGUAAGUGCAGAUGAGAUGGGGGCAUAUAUGCCGCGAAGCGCAGUACAAAGGUCAGCUCUUGAAGACUUGUUAGCUCUUAGAAAUGCAGUUCUUGAUAAUAGGUUCAAAUGGGGAGCUAGGUUAGAGUUCUUUAUCAAGUCUCCUAAAGAUAAGACUGUGUAUGAAUCUUUGUCGAAGAGGAAAAUUAGGGCUAUUUUGACAACUACGCAGCCGAGCCCAUUUCAAGAUAGGAUUGUUCAGGAGGUUUUGUUUAUGAUUUUGGAACCAAUUUAUGAGGCUAGGUUUUCGCAGAAGUCGUUUGCAUUUAGGCCUGGAAGAACUGCCCACACGGUUUUGAGGGUCAUACGCCGGAGUUUUGCAGGUUAUUUGUGGUAUAUCAAGGGGGACUUGAGUACAAUUUUGGAUGGGAUGAAAGUAGGAAUGGUGAUAAGUGCUUUAAUGAGGGAUGUUAGGGAUAAGAAGGUGAUUGAUUUGGUGAAAGCAGCAUUAGUUACUCCGGUGAUCACGAGCCGGGUUGAUGAAGGGACGAAGAAGAAAAAGACGAAGAGGAAGUAUCAGAAGAAAAGGGUUUUAGCAGAAGAUGAACCAAAGCCUGACCCGUAUUGGUUAGAGACCUUUUUUGGGUUUGCGCCUGAGGAGGCGGAGAAGGUUCCUACUUGGGGUCAUUGUGGGAUUCUCAGUCCCCUUUUGGCUAACAUUUGCCUUGAUGAGUUGGAUCAUUGGAUGGAGGGUAAGAUCAAGGAGUUCUAUCGUCCUUCCAAAAGUGAUGUCAUAUGGAACACUCCAGAAGGGGAAGUUGAACAGGGAAAUACAUCUUGGCCGGAAUUUGUUCCCACAAGUGGGCCGGAUAAGACCAGAAAGGUUGAUUAUGUCCGUUUUGGGGGUCACAUUUUAAUUGGAGUCAGGGGACCUAGAGCAGAUGCAGCUACUCUGAGAAAGCAAUUAAUUGAGUUCUGUGAUGAGAAAUAUCUCCUGAAGCUUGACAAUGAGAGUCUCCCUAUCGAACACAUAACCAAAGGCAUAAUGUUUCUUGACCAUGUGCUGUGCCGGAGAGUCGUGUAUCCAACUCUUCGAUACACUGCAAGUGGUGGGAAGAUCAUCAGUGAAAAGGGCGUGGGCACCCUUCUGUCAGUAACAGCGAGUUUGAAGCAGUGCAUUAAACAAUUUAGGAAGUUGAGCUUUCUCAAGGGUGAUAGGGAUCCAGAGCCACAGCCUUGUUUUAGAAUGUUCCAUGCAACUCAAGCUCACACAAAUGCACAGAUGAAUAAGUUAUUGUCCACCAUGGUAGAGUGGUAUAGGUAUGCGGACAACAGGAAGAAGAUUGUCAAUUUUUGUUCUUACAUCAUAAGGGGUUCACUUGCAAAGCUUUAUGCUGCAAAAUACAAGCUACGUUCACGAGCAAAGGUUUACAAAAUUGGUGCACGGAAUCUUAGUCGCCCUUUAAAGGAAAAAAAGGGGCAGUCACCAGAGUACCAUAAUUUGCUUAGGAUGGGUCUUGCAGAGUCAAUUGAUGGGCUUCAGUAUACCCGAAUGUCUCUGGUACCAGAGACGGAUUACACUCCUUUCCCCAGUAAUUGGAAACCUGAUCAUGAGAAGGCAUUGCUUGAAUAUGUACAGCUUGAUGAUCCAAAAACUCUAGAGGACAAACAAAGUUGUCUUAGAGAACAAGGUCUGAUUUCACCUCAGGAUUACAUUUCAAUGCUUGUUUGGAACUACAAAAGGAAUGCUAUCCCGGUGGAUCAGUUUCCCUCUACAAUCGGUGGUGGGAAUAACAUAAUAAGUGGAAAAAGUUUGUUGCUGGGAUCGGACCCUGAAAACUAUGAUCAAACCACCAAAGAUGAGGAAGACAACGAAGAAAGGAUUAAUGCGGCACAAAUUUAAGGAUCAAAUUUGGGACUUUUACUCCGUGUUGUGUAGCUCUCUACUUAGUGACUAUGCACCUUUAUGAGGCAAGAUAAUGUGAUGUGCGAUCUCUGAAGGAUUUUGUUUCCAAGGCCCUUUGGAUUCUCUGAAGGAUUUUGUUUCCAUGGCCCUUUGGAAAACUGUAAAUUGACUAUUCUUACCCAAUCUAAUGUUUCACUUAUGGUCUAUAGCUGAACUGGAGUUGUUCUUGGGACACGGGCUAUGACAAUGCAGAGGUUGUUGUUGAAGGCUAUGAAGCAUCGCUAUAAGGUAUCUCCUGAUUGGUGGGAUUUAAAUGGGCAUGAUGAAAGCCAGUCUCCUAAAUGUGUGCAAGUGCUUUCCUGGUAAGCUUUGAUUUAAAUGUCCUCCCUCAUGGGUAGAUUCAACUGAAUGUUAAGGUAACAAUCGGAUUAGAGAGGUGCAUGAAACUAUUAUAAUUUGGGGUCCAGAAAAUUAUGUGGCCUAUAAAUGAUAGGUCAUCAGAUUCAUUGCCCUAAUCUCUCCCGAGUUGUCCGAAGCUAUAGCUGCUAGCAGGCAAUCCAUCUUGCUCUGUCCUAGCACCGUGUCUUAUAAUUCCAGAAGAUAUUGUCUUAGUGGUUCUCUCUCAAAGAUUAGAUUGUCAGUCCAUGCGAUUGAUAAUGCUGGAGAUUGGUCAAUUUAAUCUAAAUGAAGUGUUUGCAAAUUUCCUUGGGCUGCUGAUUUUGCUGUUCCCACUACUGGUAGUGAUGCUUCUGGUUCCUAAGCAGAAGGGCAACAGAAAAGUGGUAAUUUCAUGGUGAAAGAACUGAAAGUAUGCCAGUGGCAGAUGCACCACUUUCGGUUGUGGUGCAGUACCAAGGAUGCUCAAUUCUUUAUUCCAUGACAACUACAGUUAAAAUCCUUUGUAGUCUUUUUUUUUUAAACAAGUACGAAAGGAUCCCAAGUUAAAAUAUCAUCAAUGUUGUGUAACAAAUUCCAUUUUUUAAAUCUAACUAGUUUCUGAGACGAUCGUUAAUAAGUAAUGUUGCAUCGCCUUUUUAAAUCUCACUAGUUUCUUCGGAGGUGAUUUCACUCCUGUCCCUGAUUUGAAAGUCAGUACAUCGCUUUUGCAUCAUUCCAUUCUAAUUAUAGAUGUUGAUCUUGCUUUCUGAUUCUGCAAAUGAAGUCUUCUCCAAUAUCUGCAUCAACAACGAACCUCCUCAAAACUGUAAAUGACAGACUUCAGGGGGGCUGCAUGGAGAAAGUGACCAAAUGUUUUUCUAUUCCCUCAUAUGAGAAUUUUGUAGAAGAUUUUGUUUGUGCCAUGAGUCGGCUAACUGACUUUCUGUUGAGAAGCAUGUUUUCACCAAUUUUUGCCUGCCACUUUUUUCAACGCACUCUGAAUCUUGGAAAAGAAUUGAUCGGAGGAGGACAGAAAAGAAAAUGGAAUGAAAAUGAAGUUGGUUGUUUUCUUUUGUUUGAUUGAAUGGGGAAAAAAUGCAGUUGCAGGUUCUACAGGGAGCAAAGUUCAUGACGAUUUUGGAGGCAGUGGCGAAGGUUGUGAGGUUCGUGGCAAUCGUGGCGGUGAGGGCACUGGUGUUCAAGGCAAUCAUGGUGGCGGUGAGGGCACUGGCGUUCAUGGCAAUCACAGCUGCUGCUAGCAUUGAUGAGGUUUGUGCUCCGUGAUGGCGCCCGACAGUAGGUCUGAAGAAGGAGAUCAGUGUUGAAUUGAUCUACUAGAAACAGGCAUCAUCAACAGUAUCUAAGAAAUGUAAAUGUGCUUGAUGGUUCAUAUUCUUGCAAGUGUGUGCCCUAAUAUUUUUCAGAAAAAUGUUUCCUGAAAACAGAGUUACAGGAAGACCCAAAAACCUAUUUUGGGUGAUUAUUUUAUCUUAUUUUUAAAAUUUUCAGAAACAUCAUUUUUAGCUAACACAACCAAGCAGCUGUAAUCUUAGAAGAGGGAACAAAAACUGUUUCCAAUGUA